UGGUCAAGUUAUUAAGGGUGCAGGGCGGAUGCCUUGGCACUAGGAGCCGAUGAAGGACGUGAUAAGCUGCGAUAAGCUUCGGGGAGUUGCACGUAAACUUUGAUCCGAAGAUUUCCGAAUGAGGAAACUCACUUAGAGUAAUGUCUAAGUAUCAUUAAGUGAAUACAUAGCUUAAUGAGGGGAACUCAGGGAACUGAAACAUCUAAGUACCUGAAGGAAGAGAAAGAAAUUCGAUUCCGUAAGUAGCGGCGAGCGAACGCGGAUUAGCCCAAACCAAUAAAGUUUUCUUUAUUGGGGUUGCGGACAUAUCAUAACGAAGAGGUAUCGUAAUUGAAGAGGUUUGGAAAGACCCACCACAGAAGGUAAUAGUCCUGUAUGUUAAACGAGAAGACUUUAGAUAUGAUCCAGAGUACCACGGGACACGUGAAACCCUGUGGGAAGCAGGAGGGACCACCCUCCAAGGCUAAAUACUACCUAGUGACCGAUAGCGUAUAGUACCGUGAGGGAAAGGUGAAAAGAACCCCGGGAGGGGAGUGAAAUAGAACCUGAAACCCUGCACUUACAAGCUGUGGAAGCACAUUUCUUGUGUGACCGCGUACUUUUUGUAGAACGGGCCAACGAGUUACGUUAAGUAGCAAGGUUAAGCACUUAAGGUGCGGAGCCGUAGCGAAAGCGAGUUUUAACUGAGCGUUCAGUUACUUGACGUAGACCCGAAACCGGGCGACCUACCCAUGAGCAGGAUGAAGCGAAAGUAAAAUUUCGUGGAGGUCCGAACCCACGAGCGUUGAAAAGCUCGGGGAUGACUUGUGGGUAGCGGUGAAAUUCCAAUCGAGCCCGGAGAUAGCUGGUUCUCCCCGAAAUAGCUUUAGGGCUAGCCUCAAGGUGAGAGAUACGGAGGUAGAGCACUGAAUGUCCUAGGGGGUAUUGCACCUACCGAAGACUAUCAAACUCCGAAUGCCGUCAUCUUAUACUUGGGAGUCAGACUGUGGGUGAUAAGAUUCAUAGUCGAAAGGGCAACAGCCCAGAUCGUCAGCUAAGGUCCCUAAAUGUAAGUUAAGUGGUAAAGGAUGUGGGAUUGCACAGACAACCAGGAUGUUGGCUUAGAAGCAGCCACUCAUUCAAAGAGUGCGUAAUAGCUCACUGGUCGAGUGAUCCUGCGCCGAAGAUUUCCGGGGCUAAAACUUACUACCGAAGCUACGGCAUCAGUAAUGAUGGGUAGGGGAGCUUCCCAUACGGGUUGAAGCAUGACCGUAAGGACAUGUGGACAGUAUGGGAGUGAGAAUGUUGGCAUGAGUAGCGAGAUGUGGGUGAGAAUCCCACAGGCCGUAAACCCAAGGUUUCCAGGGGAAGGUUCGUCCGCCCUGGGUUAGUCGGGACCUAAGCUGAGGCCGAAAGGCGUAGGUGAUGGACAACAGGUUGAUAUUCCUGUACUACCGAUAACCGUUUGAGAGAUGGGAUGACACAGUAGGAUAAGCUAAGCACACUGUUGGUUAUGUGUGCCCAAGCAUUGAGGCAGUCAAAGUAGGCAAAUCCGCUUUGAUAAUGCUGGGAUGUGAUGGGGAGCGAAAUUUAGUAGCGAAGUAGCUGAUUUCACACUGUCAAGAAAAGUCUCUAUCGAGGUUAAAGGUACCCGUACCGCAAACCGACACAGGUGGGUGAGGAGAGUAUCCUAAGGCCAGCGAGAGAACUGUUGUUAAGGAACUCGGCAAAAUGACCCCGUAACUUAGGGAUAAGGGGUGCCACCAUCAGGUGGCCGCAGAGAAUAGGCCCAAGCGACUGUUUACCAAAAACAUAGGUUUCUGCUAAGUCGCAAGACGAUGUAUAGGAGCUGACGCCUGCCCGGUGCUGGAAGGUUAAGGGGAUCUGUUAGAGCAAUCGAAGCAGUGAACUUAAGCCCCAGUAAACGGCGGCCGUAACUAUAACGGUCCUAAGGUAGCGAAAUUCCUUGUCGGGUAAGUUCCGACCCGCACGAAAGGCGUAACGAUUUGGGCACUGUCUCAACAACAGACUCGGUGAAAUUGUAAUUCCGGUGAAGAUGCCGGAUACCUGCGACAGGACGGAAAGACCCCAUGGAGCUUUACUGUAGCUUGACAUUGGGUCUUGGUACUACAUGUACAGGAUAGGUGGGAGGCUUUGAAACCAGGACGCCAGUUUUGGCGGAGCCAUCCUUGGGAUACCACCCUUGUAGUACUGGGACUCUAACCAUAGGCCAUGAAUCUGGUCUUGGGACACUGUCAGGUGGGCAGUUUGACUGGGGCGGUCGCCUCCCAAAAGGUAACGGAGGCGCUCAAAGGUUCUCUCAGUACGGUCGGAAAUCGUACGUAGAGUGUAAAGGCAAAAGAGAGCUUGAUUGCAAGACAUACAGGUCGAGCAAGGAUGAAAAUCGGACUUAGUGAUCCGGUGGUUCUGCGUGGAAGGGCCAUCGCUCAACGGAUAAAAGCUACCCUGGGGAUAACAGGCUUAUCUCCCCAAGAGUCCACAUCGACGGGGAGGUUUGGCACCUCGAUGUCGGCUCAUCACAUCCUGGGGCUGUAGUAGGUCCCAAGGGUUGGGCUGUUCGCCCAUUAAAGUGGUACGCGAGCUGGGUUCAGAACGUCGUGAGACAGUUCGGUCCCUAUCCGUCGCAGGCGUAGGAAAUUUGAGAAGACCUGUCCUUAGUACGAGAGGACCGGGAUGGACGUACCUCUGGUGUACCAGUUGUCCUGCCAAGGGCAUGGCUGGGUAGCUAUGUACGGAAUGGAUAAGCGCUGAAAGCAUCUAAGCGCGAAGCCAACUUCAAGAUAAGAUUUCCCACCGCAAGGGUAAGACCCCAGAAAGACUAUCUGGUUGAUAGGUCGAAGGUGUAAGUGCAGCAAUGUAUUUAGCUUAUCGAUACUAAUAGGUCGAGGACUUGACCAAU
rnacentral:rRNA from 1 species